AUUGAACGCUGGCGGCAGGCCUAACACAUGCAAGUCGAGCGGAUGAGAGGAGCUUGCUUCUCGAUUCAGCGGCGGACGGGUGAGUAAUGCCUAGGAAUCUGCCUGGUAGUGGGGGACAACGUUUCGAAAGGAACGCUAAUACCGCAUACGUCCUACGGGAGAAAGCAGGGGACCUUCGGGCCUUGCGCUAUCAGAUGAGCCUAGGUCGGAUUAGCUAGUUGGUGAGGUAAUGGCUCACCAAGGCGACGAUCCGUAACUGGUCUGAGAGGAUGGUCAGUCACACUGGAACUGAUACACGGUCCAGACUCCUACGGGAGGCAGCACUGGGGAACAUUGGACAAUGGGCGACAUCCUGAUCCAGCCAUGCCGCGUGUGUGAAGAAGGUCUCCGGAUUGUAAAGCACUUUAAGUUGGGAGGAAGGGUUGUGGGUUAAUACUCUGCAAUUUUGACGUUACCGACAGAAUCAGCACCGGCUAACUCUGUGCCAGCCGCCGCAGUAACAC
rnacentral:rRNA from 1 species